rnacentral:lncRNA from 1 species
GAUCCAUGACCACUGCGCCGGGGAGCCAACUGUCCAGCAGUCAAACAGUGAUUCCAGGUGCCAGCGGCAUCAUCUCUCACACAACUGUUGAACCUGGAAGUUCUGUUAUAGGCACUACUGGUGUGGCCUUAAGCACAACUGUUGCACCUGGAAGUUCCAGUACAGGUAGGCUAACAAGCUGAGAAGAAACCUCCUGUCUAGAAAUAAGAUGGCAAAAAUGUCCUUCGCAUUGCUCUUCUUGUGUAAGAGCAUCACAGUAUAUUUCCCCGUCCUUCUGAAUCCUCACUCUUUCCUCGUUGCUUCUCUUUUUCUUCCAGAAGCCACAACUUCCACGGGAGUCGGUAGAACCACUGUAGUGGGAUGGAAAACAGGAGCUACCACUAGAGGAUCAGCAAACCAAGGAACUGGAAGCACAAUAGAAGCUACAACAUCCUUUAGAGACACUGGGACCACAGGAUGUGGAAUGAAUACAGCUGAGCACACACGCUUCGUAACCUGUCCACUUUUCACUUAA